rnacentral:rRNA from 1 species
GGCCACCUACGGGGGGCAGCGGUAGGGAAUCUUCCACAAUGGGCGAAAGCCUGAUGGAGCAACGUCGCGUGGGUGAAGAAGGUCUUCGGAUCGUAAAACCCUGUUGUUAGAGAAGAAAGUGCGUGAGAGUAACUGUUCACGUUUCGACGGUAUCUAACCAGAAAGACACGGCUAACUACGUGCCAGCAGCCGCGGUAACACGUAGGUGGCAAGCGUUAUCCGGAUUUAUUGGGCGUAAAGGGAACGCAGGCGGUCUUUUAAGUCUGAUGUGAAAGCCUUCGGCUUAACCGGUGUAG